GAGAUUGUGACAGUGUGAAGCCAGUGGACCUGAUGCUGAAGAUAACGUUGCUGCUGGUGCCUCUAAUCAUGUAGGUAUUCAGAAGAUGCCCACUGAAACACCUCCUGAAGUUUCUCAAGGUAAUGAGUCCAGGACAAAGAUUGGGAACCCAUGAAUAAGUUGAAGAGUGUGUUGGUCCAAUGCUGAGAUUUUUUUACAACUGUGAUGAAACUUUUGAAAGCACAUAUAACUAAAGGGAAACUCGGCACUUUGUCUGAAUGCCAGCAGUGUUAGACUUUGUAAGAAAUGGAGGUCUUUGCUUGAAAAGGAAAGCCCAAAAUAAGUGAUACACAAGCAAGUACGUUAUUUCUUUGAGAUUUUUUUGUCCACUUAUUUUGUUUUUCAUUUACAUAUGCAGCAGAUUGUUUUUAAAUUCUACAGUUGUUCUUAAAUUCUGCUUUAACAUUUUAUUUUGAAUAACUGGUUUAGGUUUCAUCUUAUGUUUUAUUGAUUAUAUAUAUAGCUAUGCCUUAUUUUAUUUAGAUUGUUUUGAAUGGUUCAAUGGAUUAAGAUGCCUAUGAAAGUACAUAGUUGUACAUGAUGGAUGUCUGUUUCUUCACUUGGCAUGCUUGAACUAAAAAAAAGUUUUUCAAUAUUAUUAUUUCAAUAUUAUAAUAAAAAUUUAAUAUAAUAGUACUUGUGUUUAUCCUGGCAAUGCACUGUUGUCAAUUUUGUGUGUUGCAUUUGGAUAUGUUCCAAUAAAACACAUUUGUCCCUGUAGUACUGUAAGAUCUUUUAUUGUGUGUUGUAUUUGCAAAACGGUUCUUUCAAAUCACCUUGGUCCUGGCAAUGCACAGUAUUGUCAUGUUUGUGUGUUGUUUACUAUAAUGUGCCAGUAAAACACAUUUGUUCCUAUAAACCAGCAAAUUUACUUUUUCUGUGUGUUGUAAACUGCAUGGCGUCAUAAAUCAGUAGGACCUAGUAAACCCCAAUUUUCACAGGGGCGGGUACUUUUAGGAGUGGGCGGGGAAGUCCUUAUGUACCACUUAAAUAUCAUGUUAUCAUAUUUUGAGUUCUGUUGUGUGUAUAGGAAAUCCUGAGUGAGAUUCUUUUUCUGCAGAACAAAAGAAAUUUUUUGAUAGUAUUCUCAUCUCUGUAAAGCAUUGGGAAAGGUGGGUCCCUUUAAACCACCACCCUACUGGUUUGGCCUUUAAAGACCUUAUAAACCACAAAAACCAGUAUAGGUGUGUGUG